AGUGAACGCUGGCGGUAGGCCUAACACAUGCGAGUCGAACGGCAGCACAGUAAGAGCUUGCUCUUACGGGUGGCGAGUGGCGGACGGGUGAGGAAUACAUCGGAAUCUACUUUUUCGUGGGGGAUAACGUAGGGAAACUUACGCUAAUACCGCAUACGACCUACGGGUGAAAGCAGGGGAUCUUCGGACCUUGCGCGAUUGAAUGAGCCGAUGUCGGAUUAGCUAGUUGGCGGGGUAAAGGCCCACCAAGGCGACGAUCCGUAGCUGGUCUGAGAGGAUGAUCAGCCACACUGGAACUGAGACACGGUCCAGACUCCUACGGGAGGCAGCAGUGGGGAAUAUUGGACAAUGGGCGCAAGCCUGAUCCAGCCAUACCGCGUGGGUGAAGAAGGCCUUCGGGUUGUAAAGCCCUUUUGUUGGGAAAGAAAAGCAGCAGGUUAAUACCCCGCUGUUCUGACGGUACCCAAAGAAUAAGCACUGGCUAACUUCGUG
rnacentral:rRNA from 1 species